UACGAAGGGGGCUAGCGUUGUUCGGAAUCACUGGGCGUAAAGGGCGCGUAGGCGGCCCGGUAAGUAGGGGGUGAAAUCCUGCGGCUUAACCGCAGGGCUGCCUUCUAAACUGUCGGGCUCGAGCACGGUAGAGGCAGAUGGAAUUCCCGGUGUAGCGGUGGAAUGCGUAGAGAUCGGGAAGAACAUCAGUGGCGAAGGCGGUCUGCUGGGCCGUUGCUGACGCUGAGGCGCGACAGCGUGGGGAGCAAACAGG
rnacentral:rRNA from 1 species